ACUCAAAGGAAUUGACGGGGGCCCGCACAAGCGGUGGAGCAUGUGCAUUAAUUCGUCACUAACCGAAGAACCUUACCAGGGUUUGACAUCCCCGGACAGCCCGAGAGAUCGGGUGUUCCCCGCAAGGGGACCGGGUGACAGGUGUUGCAUGGUUGUCGUCAGCUCGUGUCGUGAGAUGUUGGGUUAAGUCCCGCAACGAGCGCAACCCUCACCCAAUGUUGGCAGCGUAAAGUCGGCAACUCUUUGGGAACUGCCCGUGUAAGCGGGAGGAAGGUGGGGAUGACGUCAAAUCGGCAUGGCCCUUACGCCCUGGGCUUGACACAUGCUACAAUGGCCGUUAAACAGAGCGACGCGAUGCCGCGAGGCGGAGCCAAUCGCACAAAUACGGUCUCAGUUCGGAUUGCAGGCUGCAACUCGCCUGCAUGAAGUCGGAAUCGCUAGUAACCGCAGGUCAGCUAAACUGCGGUGAAUACGUUCCCGGGCCUUGUACACACCGCCCGU
rnacentral:rRNA from 1 species